UACGUAGGUGGCAAGCGUUAUUCGGAAUCACUGGGCUUAAAGCGCGUGUAGGCGGGCCGGCACGUCGGCCGCUGAAAGCCCCCGGCUCAACCGGGGAAGCGGCGCCGAUACGACCGGCCUGGAGGGGGGUAGGGGGAGCCGGAACUCACGGUGGAGCGGUGAAAUGCGUUGAGAUCGUGAGGAACGCCCGUGGCGAAAGCGGGCUCCUGGGCCCCGCCUGACGCUGAGACGCGAAAGCCAGGGGAGCGAACGGG
rnacentral:rRNA from 1 species